rnacentral:lncRNA from 1 species
CUCAAAAAUUAAUGUAAAUGAAAAGGGUAGGCUGUCACAUUUGACUGUUUCCAGGAGUGUGAGUUACCUGAGCAGUGAUGAACAACAGCUAUUAGGUGGGGAAUGACCAAGCAGAAUUAGUUUAAAUUAUCUUGAGCUAGCUUUAAUAAACUACUGUAAAUAAGCAGUUUGCGCUACCUGAUCUCAGCAGUGCGACAUGUGAAGAGGUCGUGCAUUAAGUAUGUAAAGUGACCAUUCAACAGUGACGUUGUUAUUGCUACAGCCAGAUGCUUCUGGGGGCUGAACAACAGCUCUUCUUAAUUCCAGUGAAGCUGUGAAGAGCCAGCUGCUGUUAAUGAUCAGACAGGAAGGACUAAAGCAAGUCUGGCUUGCUUUAGCCUAGGCCAGGAUGAAGGCUGGUCAUUAUUAGGCAAGUCACUGUGCUGCAGGUUGCCCUGCUUUUGUGCUACUUCUGGUAGGUGGAAGAGGGAAGAAUUUGAAUCCAAAAGGCCUGAAGGAAGCCUGCAGCAUGCAGUGAUGAUAUUUGCUGACCAUGAGAUGAAAAGGUAUGCACUUGAUUCUGAGGUUGAAAACCACUAAAACAAUUUUCGGGGGAUCUGAAAGCCAUGUCUGCCCAUUUGCCUUCACAACUUUGAACCAAAGCAUCUGAAGCUGAACACUGCCAAAGUCAUAGGCUCAAUCAAUAUUUUAUCGUUCAGUAAGUGUUAUGUGUAAGUACAUAAUAGAGAAUUUCUUUGAGAACAAAGCUUGAUGUUUGACAACAUCAAGUUUUAUUUAUUGUGGUGUUUUCACAAAAAUAUUUUUUCC